CUAAAAUACGACUAAAACUAAAAUGGCUUUUUAGUCAAAAGACAAUGACUAAAACUAAAUUGAAAUUUGCAACGGAAAUUAACAUUAAGACACAUGGGGAGGGAGAAGAGGAAAUGAGACACAUGAGGGACUGAGGAAAUGAGACACAUGGGAGACUGAGGAAAUGAGACACGUGGGGGGCUGGUGGAUAGAAACACAUUGGGGACUGGGGAAAUCAGAC